UCUAAUACCGGAUACCACUCCUGCCUGCAUGGGCGGGGGUUGAAAGCUCCGGCGGUGAAGGAUGAGCCCGCGGCCUAUCAGCUUGUUGGUGGGGUAAUGGCCCACCAAGGCGACGACGGG
rnacentral:rRNA from 4 species